CGCCACGGCAAGCUGAAUAAAACCUUGUAAAACCUGUAACCCCCAAGCGUGUCUCACCCCUUUCGAUUCACUAAAGUCACAUGUUCCUGACAUUUACGGAGUAACUCGACUAGAUUAAUUUCUAGGAACGUUUUAAACAUGUUGCUAUGUUCCUUAACUGUGGCGGUGACAUUUCGCGGGUGUUCCCCAGUGUGUCGUAAAGUUUCUGUCGACUAGACAGAUGAUAGGUAUCAUUAUAAAAUUAGCACGGAAAUUAACUAGGAAGCAUCUGGGAAAAUCUAUCUAUAAAUCUUGUGUAAAUUAUAAUUGAAUAUAAAUUAAAUCAUUGUUCUUUCAAAGAACAUAUGUCUUCCGAAAUUUUUUAUUGAUUAAAAUGGAAACUUAUCUUAAUAACAAACUAAUCUACUUUCAUCUGUUUAAUUUGAUGUAAUUUGCUAUUUUAUUUUCAAGGUUUCCUUCGCAUUCUAAAUGAAGUAUUUGUAGCGAUAUUGGUCAAAACGUUCUGGGAAUUUUGCAGCUCGCAUUUUGUACGUAGGAUCAAUAAUAUAUUGUUGCCAUUCUUCGUCGUAUCCCAUUUAUUAUUAUGUAUAGUUCCAUAAAUUGUCGAUUAAACGAACGUAACGACAAAAUUCUGAAUAUUUAUUGUGAUUUAUCAAAUAUUCCAGCAGCGGAACAUACAAAUAAAAUGCUCCAGAAAGCUUAUGUAAAAAGUUACAUAAAUGAAAUAUAUAAAUUUGAUGAAUAUAUUGAAAUAAAUAUAUGUGUAUAUUUAUGAUAUUAAGUGGCUAUUGUAAUAAUUCAAGAUAUAUAACGGAAUUAUCUAACAGCCAAUGAUUUAUGUUCUAUGAAGACGUAUUCAGCAAAUAAAUUCAUAAUGAAAUAAUAAUUUAUAUCAAAUUUAAUGGAAUGGAUCAUCUUUAAUCAUGAUACGUGAACCUUUACUGUUAGAAAUUCAGGUAAGUGAAAUAUUUAGCUUGUUUUAAACUUUGAUGACAUUGAAUAAAUUUUACGAAUAAAUAAACAACAAAUUUUAUUUUUCAGGAAAUUCGAAUAAUCUAUCUGCGCGCGCACGGACGGAAAUUUAAUUCCAGAUUUAAUUACAAAGAUAUUCGUUGGAAAUUAAAGAGAGUUUUAAACUAUUAUAGAAUGAUAAAAGUUUCCGCAUUUUCGUUAAACCAAAGUUAACUCGAAACCUUUUCGUGGAAACAUUUUUCUUUACUGGAUCACAUUUUAUGUGCAGUUACAGAUAAUACGUAGCAAUGUAAUAUUUAUCAGUAUGUGUGUGUGUGUAUGAUGGUGAGUGUAGUUGUAUUAUUUUUUAUUAUUAUACUUGAAUAUUCUUCAUAUUACAUAUCGCUUUUCAUUACUUUACAUUAUUAUCUUUAUACUUUUAUUUCCUAAACGUAAUAUGCAAUUUCCUAUCAAUUUAAACAAUAUCGGUAUAAGCCAAGUGACGAGCCCCGCGAUUUCAGAGGUUCAAGGGCUUUGUCUGAUGACAUGUGCCGAUGCCAUUCAAAUCCUGGACGCCGUCCAUCACCGAGAUCGACUCAAGUGCCUCGAGUGAUAUCAGUCGAGAAUCGGAGAUACGAGCCGCAAUGAAAACGCGCAGCCUCACCGAAUUAAUCUAUUAAUCAGCGGUGUCGUUAUCUCGUUACGAUAAAUCCCCGCGGGCGACACGACGUCGCACGAAUCUCUACGCGCCGAUCUCGCUACGCGUAGACAGAUUUCCGCUCGAUGCGCCGCGUGCGAUCCUUGAACUAUAACAUUUCGGUGGGAAACAAUGUAGCUUGCAUCCGACCUCGAGUUGUCCGUGAUAACUGAAGACGAAAAAUAUCCAUCUUCAUAGAGCAUACACAUUAGUUGUUAGAUAACUAUAUGUAUAUAUAUCCUGAAUUAUUGAAUCUCUACUAUAAAUAGUCAUUUACCAGCAUAAAUAGAUGUACCUGUUUAUUCAGAUAUAUUUAUCUAAAUUUAUAUAUUUUAUUUACGUAACUUCUAAAACGCUUGGUUCAUGCUCAAUCACACAUGCAUUGAGCAUUAACUGAGAAUUACAGAGCUUUACGUGACGCGCGCAAUUUCCAUGGUAACGUUUUUACUCGCUUUAAUUGCAUUGUUGUCAUGCAUACGACAAGUUACGUCCUUUGCGUACAAUAUCCUGCAUUGACCAUCUCUAAUAUCGGCUCUAAUAUCGGAAGUCCUUGUAUCCAAAUCCCUAAUAAAUAGGCAUUUGGAAUUUUUAAUUCUGUUGAAGAAGCAUACACGAAGGUUCCGUCCCUCGAACGGAAAUCUCGGAGCAGGGCCUACAAUCUGGUCCCAUUGCCAUGACACCCUUCUCCAUUGGAGUAUUUAUCGUACGACGAGCAGCUCAUUUCCUUACGUCGCUCCGGGUUUAAUAAAUCAGAGAAGACGCCCUUGUCAAUGGUAAGGUCAGUCGGGGCGACUUUGCGUCUCCAGCAUUUGCCAAGUGGUACGAGACACGACGGAUAUAGAAAACGAGAAAGAGAGAAGGAGGGAUUAUAUAAAAGAAGGGGAAAGGAAGGUUGAAGUCCCUCUUCCUCUUUCUCUACAUCUUCUCUUUCCCUCGGACAUACGCAGAGAAAGAGAGUAAGAGAGGGGGGGGGGAGGAAGAGAGAGCACGCACACACGCAGAAACAUGCAUACGCACACGUUGCUUGCUCAACAAUGGUGGAGGUCACGAAAAAGUGGAGCAGACAUUGGUCAUCCGGAAAGUUUGAGAUUUUCUGACUUGCAAGGGUAGAUUUAGUCAGCAUCGCAAACCGAAGAUUAGGGAUAACCAAGUGGAAGAAAUUAUCGUACUUCAUAAUUUUAGGAUUAUUUACUCUAUUAGACAAUAGUCGUAUUUAUAUUUAUUUCAGUACUUUAUACUAUUUCAGAUGCGAUGCACGUAUGCAAAAACUGUUUAAAAUAUUGUAUUAAAAAUGAACCAGCAAAUUUCAAAACAGAAUUGACCGCAUCAAAUUUAAAAUUAGAAAUAUUUGCAUUAAAAAUAUACGUAGCAGUAACAGAAUAACAUUUUUAACCACGGUCAUGCAAAACUGAAUUUGUAUAAAGCAAUAUUUCAAAUGUAAAAUAAAAUAUUAAGAACUAUCAACAGUUUACAGUAACGUAGUUUUGUACGUCUUUGUAGCGCAUUGAUAAAAGUCUUAUAAAUAAUAAAUGUCUUUAAAUUUUUCUAACGAUUUACGUUUGUCCAUAUUUCAAUCCGCCAUUAAUCUCGGGAUCACAGAAACGAAUGUUCGCUACGUGACAUCCUCUUACGAGGAUGCCGUACGAUUUUCGCAUCAAGAUAUACUUUCAGAGCGAUGCUAGGAUCUUUCCGCGGCCAACAAUACACGCGGUAAUUCAUAAAGAUACAGCUGCGAAAAGUUCAUCCAUACGCGUCCACCUACGCCUCUAAGUACCAGCCAUCCGGUCAGAUGCGGUCAAAAGUCACCCUGUUUGUUAUCUGUGUAUUUGAUUAUGAAGCUUUCACCUACGCUACGCCCGGAGGAAAUGUCAAAUCAUGAAAAAGUCAUAUCGCCAAUGUAAACCGCAUUAAUCGCAUAUGGCAAACUCUACACGAAAAAUGUAGGCGUCUUCGAAAUGUUUGGGAAACACACCGAUUAUUAUUACAUUUUAUUUCUGGCAAAGUUAAUUAGCGCACUCUACCUUUUAGUGCUCCCGCAUUUUAAUAUACAAUUAUAAGAGAGUUCAAAGAGUUUCAUUGUAUAUUAAAAUGUAACUUUGUAUUAAUACUACCACGUGUGCUUCUUAUGCUUAAUUUUAAUAGCUUCGAAUUUUUUUACACUAAUAAUAAAAAAUAUUUAACUGAAAAGAUAUACAUAUAUUUAUUUCAAAAGCCGUUUUGCAUUGCAAAAAUGUACAAUUAUAAAAUAUUCUUGAAAAUUUUAUAUAAUAUUAAUACGUUUGUUAUCGAUGAUAACAUUUUUCAUAGUAUAUUACCGUUCUUCAUAAAAAUUCGAUUGUUUUUAAUUAGCUAAAUUAAUUGCAUUCAUUAUGAUUUUCCUGUUUGGCACGUGACACUCAUGUUUACCUAGAAACGACAAUUGCGUUAGCCAAAUUAAAUGGCGCUAGCCAGUGUUGAAGACGUUAAAAGUAGGUUACGAUCCACGAGUGAUAACACGGCAGGCCCAUAAAAGUGUCCUGGCCCUGCCUAACCCUAAGGGAAUCCGUGAGCUUCAUUACCUACGAAGGACUUUGAGGCGUGUGCACGUAUAGCGCUUAAAAUAUAUCUUCAUAAAAAGCUCCAUAAAAAAAGAAGAUUUUCGUCUUAUCGAUCCAAAGAUUAGACUUGGGGUGGCACGAAAAAUGUCGUUAAAACAAUUAAAUUUACCGCGUGUUAGUAAAAUAUAUUCUCUUUUGUAUAUCCGGAAAUAUUGUAUUCUCUAUAUGAAUAGGGUGAAAACGAAGGAAAUAUCCUUCUACGCAAAAAAAACUUGGAUAUAACAACUAUAGCAGCAAUAUUGUGAAGAAUUAGUAGAGUGAAUUGAAAUAUAUUUACUGAGACUAGAAAAGUCUACAGAAAAUAUUGUAUUUUAUACGCAACAUUAUCACGUUGUAGAAAGAAUAGCUACAAUUUUAACGUUAAACUAUUUAAACUUUUUUUUCUUGAUUUAACAAUAAAUUACUUUUGAACCACGUUGUACUGCUUGACGAUCGUUAGAAUUCCGAGAAAUAUGCUGCACUUCACAGCACAUGUAAUUAAUAACAGCACGACUAUAACGCUUUAAAAAGUUUACAAAUUUGUUGUGAAUAAAUGUUUAAAUAAACAGAAAUAGAUACCCAAAAUUUUGUUCAAAAUGAUACUUUGCACAAUAUUGCAACUAUUUAUUAUUACUACAACAAUAAAGAAAAAUUCAGAAUUUUUAUUUUUUAUCAUUAUUUUUCACUAAAUAAGUUUUUAUAGUUCCAAUAAACAUUCCUUUUUUUCUAAGAACUUGGAGGAACUAAUCGCAGAGCUAGCAAAGUCAAAUUCCGUGAUUUUAAUUAACCGAUUGCUAUUUUAUAUUAAAUCUCUUUUAAUGUUUUUAAGGAAUUUAAAUAACUGCGUAACUCGUGAAAAACGCCACGCACAAGAGGCAUUUCAUUAUAUUAACUUUUUUCAUAAAUUCACAUUUUUAUAACGUUUGUAACUUGCUUUUUUAUGACAGUCGCAUUAAGUUCAUAAUGCUUUUUAUUAUACUUGUUUUAGCAGCAUUCAUUAAAAUUAUGUAAUACGGCUUAUCAGAUGCGCCUAUUAUCAAACAGCCUGCAACGGCUGAAGGCAGCUACCCGGCGAAGCAGGUAGGUGACUAUAUAUCUAUUGAUCGUUCAUUCAUGUGCCGCCCUUUCGUCCUCUUAGCCCCUCGUUGCACCAUCGAGCGCGGUCCAUCUCUCUCUCUCUCUCCCUCUUUCUCCCUUCCAUCCAUCCACCGCCAUUUCCACCACCCUUGUUGCAAGCGACGUCCACCAUCGCGAUUCCAUCGACGUCGACGUUGUUGUUACUGCCGCUGUCGUCGCCGCCUCCAUCGUCGUCGUCAGUACCGGCUUUAAAAGUAACUAAGAGAAACAACCCCUCAAGACAUCAAAAAUAAUGAGUGCAUACGCAUUUCAGCUGUGCUCAUUCAAGUAAAUAAGUACAUCAGUCCCCUUUAAUCGUCCCGCUAUGAAUAUAUAAAUUUGACUUGAAUCAGAAAGAAAGUUAAAGCAUUGCAUUGGAAAGUGUCGAUAUACUCGAAGCCGGCGUUGAUCGCCAUCUCAACCUACAGAGGGAGUUGGGUCUGCCAACUGAAAAUCCAUCCCUCGUAAGCUCCUCACACGUAGCGCUUACGUAUCCCUCACUCCAACCAGCCUGCCAGCCCCGUAAAAUCGACGAGCAGCCUGAAUGACCGUGAUUUACAUCGAUAAACACACCUCGAAAGCGCGCAAUAUUUUAGCCACCAAUACUUCAUCAUGUUGUGAAUGAAGUUAUUUCGAUCUCAAUAUAGAAGCAGCAUUUUCUUUAAUUUCAAUAUUUUCAGAUUUUUAAAUAUCCUGAAAAAAUUACAAUUACCUUAUUGUUAAAUUUGUGUCUAGAUAGAUCCACAAGUUAAAAAUUAAUUGUUAAUUUUUCGUGUAACAGUUGCGUCUCUAAUUAAAGGAAUCUUUGAGUGAGAAGUUUCCACAAUUAACAUCUUCGGAAAAAUUCAAUUAAAAAAUAACAUUAAGAAAAUUGUUGAAUUAAAAGUCAAUAAAGCGUCAAUGGCGCAUAGUCGUAUUUCCCUCGAUGGAAAUUAUGGCGUGGAAAUGAUCGAAUCGCGACACGACGAUGAAAAGGGGGUCGACCGACGUUGCACCAGAAAUUAAUUUGUCACUUUCGCGAGCGUCGUGACGCGUCGCCUUCUAAUCUCGUCGUCGGCGUCGCGCUCGCGAACGCGGAUUGGCUUCCUUCGCGGACGAGCGAUUUGGGGCCUGUGUAAAGCAUCGAAGGGAGUGCUGGGCCGAUCGAUCGGAUCGAGAGGUCGGAUGGUACACGAGGGAACGCGAUUACGCGAGAGACGAAACGAGCGACCGGCACGAUCCGAGCCAUCGUUCCAUUGAAAAUUACAUAACUCUGGCGUUUACGUCGCAAAACAGCUAGGGCUGAUAAUCUAAUAAAUUAGUCUAGACAAAAUAGAGGAUGUAAAAUUAAAAUUUCACAUAACUGUAUUUUAACGAAAUUGCUUAACACUCUGGAAUAAUGAAAACAAAUAAAAAUAAACAUGUAAUAUAGCACGUGAGUAAAAUUAGCCAAGAUUUGAGAAAAUAAUUCUAGACACAAAAUGAAGCAAAUGAAAUUUUUAAAAAUAUCAAUAAUAAACACGAUACAACAGCGAUAUUUAAUAAAUAACUCUGAACAAAGUUGCAGAGAAAGUAUAUUAAAAUUUGUUUAUUAAUAUUUUACUAACAAAAAAUACAACACGAUACGAUAAUAAAUAAGGCAAUAAGUAAAGUAAAUAACUACAUGUCUAAAUAAAAACAUAUAGAGGGAUGUGUAAUAAAUUUUUAGUUCCUAAUAUUUCGCAGCAAACAAUAUUUUAUAUUAUCAAAUUAAUAAUCGAGAUAAUAUUAUACUUCGUCGGUCAAUUACUCUAAUCCUGUUUGACAUUACAUUUUGAAAUCGAUAUACAAAAACUAGAGAAAAUAAAGCUAUAAAAAUUCAAAUCAUUUAUUGCCUUUACGAAUAAAGCAAAAUUAAUAUAUCAGAUAAGAAUACGGCAUAAUUUACACACGCGUAAUAUUCAGACACGCAGCAGCACCGAUGUAGAAUUAAUGUACUUAUUUUCAUUAAGCUAAAAACCUUUAAUACUGUUAUGGUGGCAUGCACUAUCAUCACGACUAAACGGAUUAAAGUUGUAGACUUUCCUUCAUUGUAGCCCACAAAAUUUAAAGUUUCAUUUCUAUUAAACAUAUAUCAAAAGUAUAAUAAUGACACACGUCAUUAAUAUCUUAGUUGUUACAAUGUAAUGUCACUUUAUCAACGGAUAGAUGUUCGAAAAUGAAGUCAUUACUGUGUUAAGAAUUACAAGAAGGUUGAGAAAUUGUAGUAAUGUUGCGAGCAAGCACUCCCGAAAAUAAGAACGACUGAAUAAUACAACCGCGAGUAUCUGCAAGUAGCGUGAUAACAGAUGAAACAUCGUUAGGACACACACGUAAAUAUCUCUUACAGAGAACGCAAAAACCAGAGCGUUUCGUGAAAUACGAAUGGACGAUCUACAGCAGGCUCGUGCCUAGUGCUUUAAUGAAAGCGAUAAAUACGCGUAAAACAGAUUCCCACGGGAUUAAAAGGGAACAACAAUAACUCGAGGCCCAGUUUACGUUGUACGACUGCAAUGUACAUCAUAUGCAGAAGAAUUAAUUCCCUCUUACGCUAAUUGAAAACUCAAACGUAAAAAACAACUGCACGCUACGUUUCCAGAUAAUUAUUGCUUGUCGCGAACGAUCGAAUGCUAUAAAAUGCACCAUUUGAGAAGCAUAAAAUUACCAUAGGAAUUAUUUGUCUUCCUGCAAGACCGAAACGUGCCGGAAACGGUCGCAGUUAUGUAUCAGGAUCAUUCUUGUUACUCGCCUUAGACUCGACGAAACCGACGUUGGUUAUACAAUAAAUACUUUCUCGGAUGCUUCACUCUCGGAAAAUUGGUUAACAAAUUGCAAUUACUUCAUCGUGAAAACUCAAACUCAUUAAAUGAGCUUUUAGCACACAGACAUAAGUUUCAAUACAAGUGUAUUUAAUACACUUUAAAUAAUAAAUAGUAUCUGUAUAUCAAUUAUAUUUCACUCUUCAAUAUAAUGUAAUUGCUCUAUAAUUAAGUGAACUCAAUACAUUACGCAAAGUUUCUUCUCGAAGGAGACUGUAGACAUUCGAAUCGCAACAUGGAGAAAUUAAAACCUAUAUCUCAC